rnacentral:lncRNA from 1 species
GUCACAUUGAGGUCACUGGGGUCAUUUGGGGGUCACUUUGGGGUCAUUUUGGUGUCUUUGAGGUCACUUUGGGGACAUUGGGGUCACAUUGGUGUCACUGGGGUCAUUUUAGGGUCAUUUUGGGGUCACUUCGGGGUCUUUGAGGUCACUUUGGGGACUUUGGGGUCACUUUGGGGACAUUGGGGUCACUGGGGUCAUUUUAGGGUCCCUUUGGGGUCCCUUUGGGGUCCCUCACCCUCCUGAUGGACGUCACCGACUCCGUGAUGUGGCGGCGGUUGAUCUCCGUCAGCUCCCUGGGGGGGGGUAAUUAAUUAACAGGGCUUAAUUAAUCAGCGCGGGUGGAGCCAUUAAUUAACGAAUGGGAGUCACUUGGAUAUGGGGGGGAGGGGGUGGCGUGGCUUUGGGGGUCCUGGGGGGGAUUUUAGGGUCC